rnacentral:rRNA from 1 species
GGGUCAGUAGGUUGGUCGUGCUACCGGUACGUACUGGUAUCACUGAUCCCUCCUUCCUGAGGAACCGUAAUGCCAUUAAUUUGGUGUUGCGGGGAAACAGGACUGUUACUUUGAAAAAAUUAGAGUGUUUAAAGCAAGCUAACGCUUGAAUACAUUAGCAUGGAAUAAUGAAAUAGGACGAUCGAUCCUAUUUUGUUGGUUUCUAGGAUUGACGUAAUUAUUAAUAGGGAUAGUUUGG